rnacentral:sRNA from 1 species
GAGCUGCUGCAGCCCAUGCUGCAGCUGCUUCAGUUGCUGCAAUACAACUGCAAACCUUGCUGCAGUUGCUGCAGCCGUUGUUGCUGCAGCAGGAGCAGUUGCUGCAGCCGUUGUUGCUGCAGCAGUAGCUGCUGCUGCAGCCGUUGCUGCUGCUGCAGCCGUUGCUGCUGCUGCAGCCGUUGCUGCUGCAGCAGUAGCUGCUGCCGCCGUUGCUGCUGCAGCAGUAGCGGUUGCUGCAGCCGUUGUUGCUGCAGCAGUAGCUGCUGCUGCAGCAGUGCAGCAGUAGCUGCUGCAGCGGUUG